CGAUGAGGCUCCCACCUUCCACUAGCAAAUCUCUUGAAAUUGAAGGGUAAACACCCCUCUUACAACCUUUUAUAAGCAGCUCAACCUCUUACAAAUUUUCAAUAAGAAAGAAGGAGGAGAACUCUCUAGCAAAUUGAAAACAAGACUUGCUAAGACUUUCUAAGACUUUUCUCUCAAUCAAAUGCUUCUCAAAAGUUGUAACCUCAGCUAAGAUUUGAGGGCUAUUUAUAGGCCUCAAGAGGAUUCAAAUUUGGGCUCCAAAAUUUGAAUUCUCUUUAGGUUCCCG
rnacentral:lncRNA from 1 species